AUUUACAAAAGACAAUUUUAUAAUGUUAAUUCUGUAAUAGAUAUUCUGUUUCUUAAAAAGGUUUAGUUAAUGAUACAACUAUGAUUGUGAUUGUUUGUGUCAGGUUCGACUAUCGUAGGCUGUGAGCAGGGCAAAGUGGACGUGGAGGAAGGCACAAACCACUCAUUCUCGUGUGUUGAAUUGCCAGGGAUGAUUUAUGAUAGCAAUGGACGUGCUCUCUGUUACUGCAGUAGUUAUUAUUAUUAUUAUUAUUACGGCUACUUGUGUCAGCUUGUAAUAUAUUUUGGUGUAUCAGAAUAUUUAUACAGCUGCUAUCAAAACUCCUACUUAACUGUGAUACCAAGAGACUCGGCUAGCAGGAUUAUGUGGGAUUACUAUGGGACACGUGCAUAUUGCAGUUUAAACAUAUAUGCUACCCCAGUGUACCAGAAUGACAGCUGCGAUGUAAGUAUUUCAGACUGGAUGGUUACCGGAAGCUGCAACAUAACAGGAAUGUAUUCUUCCGACAACAAUUACACAUGCAGCUGGAGAGAGCAAAAUAACACCAGGGAGGAAUUCGGGGGUUGGAAUGUGCUGGAAGGUUAUAAGUGCGGCUAACACAAGACUCUACAUGCGGGGUGUUUGCUCAUUUACAAGACCAAUUCCUUGUCUCAACGGCUCCUAUAACUACACAUGAGAGUAUCACCCGGCUCUGAUGAGUUUUACCAUAACACAAUAAUUAUAG